UGGUAGUGUAUUGGACAACCAUGGCUUUCACGGGUAACGGAGGAUUAGGGUUCGAUUCCGGAGAGGGAGCCUGAGAAACGGCUACCACAUCUAAGGAAGGCAGCAGGCGCGUAAAUUACCCAAUCCUGACUCAGGGAGGUAGUGACAAGAAAUAACGGGUCGGGGCAUUUGCCUCGGGAUUGCAAUGAAUCGAAUUUACACCCCUUAAUGAGGAUCAAUUGGAGGGCAAGUCUGGUGCCAGCAGCCGCGGUAAUUCCAGCUCCAAUAGCGUAUAUUAAAGUUGUUGCAGUUAAAAAGCUCGUAGUUUGAUUUCUGGACGGGCGCUGACACCCGCUUGUUAGUGAGGAGGAGGCGCCCGCCCAUCCUUCUGUUAACGCCAUCGGCAUUCAUUUGCUGGCGGCGGGCUCAGAUAUUUUACCUUGAGGAAAUUAGAGUGUUUCAGGCAGGCUUGCGCCUAGAUACAUUAGCAUGGAAUAAUAGAAUAGGACUUUGGCCCCUUCUGUUGGUUUGAGGGACUGCAGUAAUGAUUAAUAGGGAUAGUUGGGGGCAUUAGUACUUAACUGUCAGAGGUGGAAUUCUCAGAUUUGUUAAAGACUGACUUAUGCGAAAGCAUUUGCCAAGGAUG
rnacentral:rRNA from 1 species